CGGUAUGUACUGGCUUUACUGAUUCCUCCUUCUUGACGAACCGUGAUGUCAUUAAUUUGGUGUUGCGGGAAAUCAGGACUGUUACUUUGAAAAAAUUAGAGUGUUUAAAGCAGGCUAACGCUUGAAUACAUUAGCAUGGAAUAAUGAAAUAGGACGUUAAUCCUAUUUUGUUGGUUUCUAGGAUCGACGUAGUGAUUAAUAGGGAUAGUUGGGGGCAUUAGUAUUCAAUUGUCAGAGGUGAAAUUCUUGGAUUUAUUGAAGACUAACUACUGCGAAAGCAUUUGCCAAGGAUGUUUUCAUUAAUCAAGAACGAAAGUUAGGGGAUCGAAGACGAUCAGAUACCGUCGUAGUCUUAACCAUAAACUAUGCCGACUAGGGAUCGGAUGAUGUUAAUUCUUUAAUGACUC
rnacentral:rRNA from 1 species